UACCGCCUGAGUGCACAGGGGGAAGGACAAUGAUUGGGAUAUAAACUCAGGCAUUCCAGCAGGGAGUGGCAACCCCCUUUGGGUCCCCUCCCUUGUAGGGGAGCUCUGUUUUCACUCUAUUAAAUCUUUCAACUGCACAUUCUUCUGGUCCGUGUUUGUUACGGCUCGGGCUGAGCUUUCCCUCGCCGUUCACCACUGCUGUUCGCCGCCAUCCCAGACCCACUGUUGACUUCCACACCCCCGGAUCCGGCAGGGUGUCCGCUGUGCUCCUGAUCCAGUGAGGCGCCCACUGCCGCUCCCGUUCGGGCUAGAGGCUCACCAUUGUUCAUGUGCGGCUAAGUGUCCGGGUUCGUCCUAAUCCAGCUGAACAGGAGUUGCUGGGUUCCACAGUUCUCGUCCAUGACCCACGGCUUCUAAUAGAGCUAUAACACUCACCUCAUGGCCCAACGUUCCAUUCCUUGGAAUCCAUGAGGCCAAGACCCCCAGUUCAGAGAAUAAAAGGCUUGCUGCCAUCUUGGGAGCCGCCUGCCCCAUCUUGGGAGCUCUAAGAACAAAGACCCGCCUAUAACAAUGGUAUGCUCUUCAUUUUCAAAGUGCUCCAACAACUCUUGCUGAGGUACAGGUCGUACACGCCUACCCAUUUCCUUCUUAUCAGAAGAGUGAAAACACUGCAGAAAACCACCUCUUCUGUUUGUAUUUUACUUCCGGAAACAUAUACAUCCCAUCAACCCUCUCUAUCUUCAGUUUACUAGUGAAUAAAGAAGGACUUAAAGGAAACGUGGAGCCACGGAGGCCAAGGAAAUCUGAUCAGCUCCAGAUCCCCAAGUUGGUCUUUUUACACCCCUAAAGACACCAUGCUUGCUCCUUCUCCAAGACUCAUAAGGAAAUACAAAUGACUUUGAAAUAUCAGCCACUGUUAACUGGAUCAGAUUCCUCCAGUAAAUAUGAGAGAAGAGUCAUGACUUUUGCUCAGUCAUUAAAAUAAGAGACACAAGGAUUGGUAUGGGGUAUCCCUAGCAGAAUUUAUUCAAGGAAGCCUAAUCAAUAUCCCCCAUCUCACUAUUUCUUCAGACACGUGCUAAGUUUACAUAUUCGAAUCAAAUUAACAUAUCAGAGUCACAAAUUGGCAAUGGUGUCAAAAUACCUAUCCUCACCAUUCUAAAUCAUUUUUCACAUUAAAUAUGUCAAGGGCUAUGUUUGCGUGCAUAAGUCAAAAGAAGAGAAAUAAAGCAAUACAUUAAGAAGUUGGUGACAUAAGCUUAUUUAUUUAGUUAUUUAUUUUUGCCUAUUACUGGUAGAGAAAAAUGUAUUUAGUUUGCUCUAUUACAGGUAGAGAAAAAUUAUAUUUUGUUGUUCUGAGUGAAACCAGUGAUAAUCAUUUUACCUCUUCUUUUAAGUAGUAUAGAAGUCUAACAUUUUCAUUGCUUAUUGCCAGAACUUAAGUGCUAAGAUUUUUUCUAUAUUGUCUGAUUUGAUUCAUACAUAUAAUGUUGAGAUUCAAGAAUUAUUAUCCCAUUUACCAGAUGAGGAAGUGGAGGUACAGAAGUUUUAGAAAAGGGAAUUAGCCUCCGCUUCUAUUCUAUUAAGCCACUAUAUUUCAGAAGGCAUAGAGUAUCUAUUUUGCAUUUGGGUUGGGGGAGAUGGAGAUUUGCCCUAACUUUGAUUCUUUUAGGUCAAGAAUAAUUUCUUUCAGAACCCGGAUGGUUUUCUUAUUUCCAUAAAAUGGGUUGCCACAUUAGGCCUCAGAGUCCACCAAAUGAACGGUUCUUCUCUUCUGCUGUCCCUCAAAUUUGUGAUAUGUAAAAUAUGUGUGAAGAUGCAGAUAACAUGUGGGAUCUCAUUGGCUCUACCAUUCCUUAGAGAAAAUAGAUCUAGCUUGCUCAAAAGGAGACUAUUAUCUGACUGCCUGAAUAGAUCCCAUUACAGGAAAAAUUGACUGAAAUAUUGUCAAAUGUGUUCCAGCAAUAAAAUUCAGGUA
rnacentral:lncRNA from 1 species